AUUUCUGAGCUGGGGGCAGAGAAUUCAACGAUGGUGUUGUCUCUCAUUAAAGCUUAUGUCACAGAAACCAGUGAGGUUCAGUUGUUCAUUCAGUCAGUUGAUGCCAGUGGGCUUCUCCCUUCCUCUGUCUCUGUCUCCCUCUGAGAAUGCAGGGCAGCGAGGCCCAGGAUUAGGUCAGAGAGAAAUCGCCUUCUUUCCUCUACUUGUGUGCGAUUCUACAUUUAAAGUUUUAAAGUUUUUUAUAAAUUAUAUUCACUUAGUGACUUAUUGGGCAAAAUUUGUCUUGCUGCUCCUCGUUAGUUCUAAUUCAUGGUGAGGUAAGAGCAAUACAGGGAAGUAAAAAAGGCAGAGGGGCUGCGGUCUCUAUCAUUUUCAAUGCUUUAAAUUUUUUGUUUCUCAUUGCUACUUUCUUAGAAAGUAAAAUUCCACAAUUAUUUUGUGGGUGAAAAGGAAACUAAUGUGAGGUGAAAUUCACGAAUGUGAAAGAAGGGAAGUGAUUUUCCACAGACACAAUGACAUAUUCUAAGUUAGCAAGAUUUAAUACAGCGUUGUUGGGGCAGGAUAAAAGCCAAUAUGAAUAACAGAAAGUCUGGAAAAUGGCUGCUUCUGCCAGAAACUCAAAGAAGACCGAGUCCUGGGUUAACGGACUGCCUUCAGCUUUGCAAGACCAGGCACCUGAUUUUUCUUUCAUUUAAUCGAUAUGUGAUUAUUUUUGAAGAAAGAGGGAAGAAGUCACACCGAUCAGCUCACAAGCAACUGGCAACCAGAACCCAAUGGCUAGAACACUAACCCUCUGUGGCAGGAUCGUGGAGAUCAGCCUUGCUGAGCAUCUGUCUAGUUGAUGAAUCCAUUCAGGAUAACAACUAAAAAGUCACUCGCCAUCCGGCUCUACAAGAAUGAAGUCACUAGUCACUGUAGUCCCUGACCCCAGCGUGCCCUGUUAGGAGUUCAGGGUGGAGAUGAAGAACGAGGCACGCUGUGCUCUGGGAAAACUGACAGAACAGGCCAGUAGGUCGUUAAAUAAUUUCCCAAGAAAAUUUAAUAAACGCAAUUUCUUGCAUGUUCUCCGUAUGUAAAAAGCCCUAAAAUCAUUAACAGAGACAUCUGUUCCUCAUAACUAGCAGCAAACUUCUACCAAGUUGUGUCCUUGAUUGCAUGUACCUCCCUCACCAAAAUCACCAGUAUAUACUGACGUCCCCCUUACGUCCUUGGGGCAGUUCGUCAGAGCUGAAAGGCUGUCCUCCAGGCUAUAGUCCUCAGUAAGUCCUCCCAAAAAAAUGAACUCUCAGCUCUCAUGUUGUGGUUUGUUUUCAGUCGACAAGGACCUCACUGAUUUCCCAGGAGACCUCCUCAGGUCAGCCUGUUCUCAUUCUCAAUGAAGACACCUCCAUUUCUCACCUACAGUCCAGGCUGGACAUCCGUUUGUCUACUGAUAGAGUCCAGGGAAGGAUCUCUACGCCAUUGUUCCAACUCUUGGUUAAGAUAUGGGGGCAAAGACAUCAUGAUGGAAUGUAAGAAGUUCCUUGGAUUGCAUUGUCCCCAGGAAUAUCCUUCCCUGCUCUGUGAUUACUUGCUGGGUCCUAAGGACAAAACAAGUUUGCAGCUGGCACUGAGGUAACCCUCGUCCCUUCCAAGACUCCGCAGGCUGCUGUGGUAUCAGUGCUGGGGACACUGCUAGUGGCCACGUCCUUGUGGGAGAACUCUGUGCUAUCGCAUGCACCUCAAUCUUUUCUUCUCUGAAAAGGAACGUUCUGGAGAAACACUUGCCUCGGUGCAGCUGAUCUGUGUUCUUCCAUGUCCUGAGGACCUGCCGCUGUUCCAGUGAACGCUUUAAACAUCUCUGUUCUCCUUCCAAGUUCUCAAGCUGCUGCUGCCUUUCAACUCCAUGUUUCCUGCGCUUUGGGCUUUUUGAGCAAAUAAGAGUCCUGAACCAGAACUCUUUGGCAUUUGCUUUUUUUCACCUCUUUAUUCGUGGAACUAUUAUAUAUCUGAUAUAGAAAUAUGAAGUUGUAAAAUAUAACCUACUGAAACAAGUGAAUGAUGAGUAGAAUUCAUCAUACAGGACUUCCCUGGUGGCGCAGUGGUUAAGAAUCUGCCUGCCAAUACAGGGGACACGGGUUUGAUCCCUGGUCCAGGAAGAUCCCACAUGCCAUGGAGCAAUUAACCCCGUGUGCCACAGCUACUGAACCUGAGUUCUAGAGCCCACAAGGCACAAAUAAUGAGCCUGCGAGCCACAACUACUGAAGCCUGUGCACCCUAGAACCCGCGCACCGCAACUGCGGAGCCCACUCGCUGCAACUGCUGAAGCCUGCGUGCCGAGAGCCUGUGCUCCGCAACAAGAGAAGCCACUGCAAUGAGAAGCCUGCGCACCACAACGAAGGGUAGCCCCCGCUCGCCGUAACUAGAGAAAGCCUGUGCAUACCAAUGAAGACCCAACACAGCAAAAAAAAAAAAAAAAAAAAUUCAUCAUCCAUUUUUCACUAUGCUUUGAGAAUUUAAGCUAUUUCUUUUUGUAAGAAUAAACCAAUGCAGGCUGUCAUCUGGGGAAGAUUUUCAUAAAUUAAACAAGAAAAUAAUUUGAAAAAAGAUAAAGUGCAAAUCAUACUGAGACUCAAACAUAAGCAACAUCCACAAGACAGCCAAUGGAAGCUCAGAAGUAAGUGAAGGCCACGUCUCACAAUAUUACUUUGAGAUCAAGCAAAUGAUGGAGAGAAAGUCCUCCAAUGAGCCAUCAAGUCACCAUAGUUUGGAGCACUGAUCGUGUAUGCAGUUUGUUUAUCGUCCAUGAACUCAGUGUCAACGCUUCUUGUAUGUAUGAUACACAAGAAAGCCCAAAGACAAAAAUGAAUACUAAGGAAUAAGAUUUUGUUGUAUAGGGUUAAGCUUUGGAGUGCCACAGCAUUGUAAUAGCAAAAUUUGUCAUACCCCUAAAAACUAAUGUUUGUACCCAUGGAAGCAGUUAGCAUCCCCAAUGAGAAUGCAUGAUUUAGCAGUCAUCAUCAAUUUGAAUCUUUCUCUCUAUUUUUGCUUUAAAUUUCAAAUUUCCUUAAGGACUUUUAGAGGUGCCAAUCCAAGUCUAUCCUUUUCAAUCCAAAGGAAAC